GUAGAGCGUUGCGAGAGUAGACAUAGAAAGAGGGAGCCAACGAUCGAAGAUUAAGAAGGCGACGACGGUGGUUCUGUUUUUGGCGAUGGCGGUGACUUCAAGUAACGAAGACCGACUAGGGUUCAAGCGACAUUCCGGCUACCCCUUUUUACACUGUUCACCAGGAGUGGGGUUCAUGCCGCAUAUCCUUGAUGUUGCUGGAGAGGUUCAACCUUGACCCUUUAAUGUUUCUUUCUUUGGUAUAGUUUGUUUAUGUUUUUUUUACUACUACAUUUGUAUGGUAAUAAUUGAUUCAGACCAAGACUCUAACACCGGGCCUCUCUCUGUAUUGAUGAUGAGUGUCAAGAAUAAUACACAGGUAGUUAAAGGUUCAAGGUGCAACCAACAAUAUACUCAAUGUGGAUGCAACUCGGAGUGUGGAAAGGAUUGCCCCUGCUUAAACAAUUCCCCUGCUGUGAAAAGUAUUGUGGGUAUGUAUUAUGAGUUUAAGAAGUGAUGUCAGCAUCGUUCUUUUAAGAGACAUACAUGCGCACCCAGUUGAACAUGCCAUAUGUUACUAAAAUCGAUGAUAUAAUACAAAGUAACUGGUGGAUGGUUGACAUAUUAAGACAAAGCUUGCGUAUCAUCAGUUACAACAACAACGACAGGAAGAAGAAACAACUUAGGUGACUUCCAUUUCACUUGGAUGUUGUGCUAAUAUGGCUUUUCUGGAUGUUAGUAUCCCAGCUCUACCCAGGGCUGCUGCAUGUACAACUUUGUUUCAACUACAAUUUCUCUUGCAAAAUGUUUGACAAAGCCUAGCAUUUACAUUCCUAUCAAGAUACAAAAGGUACCUUGGCUGCUACAGUUGAAGAAACGUAGGCGAUGUCUUAUUUGCGGGUUAGACACCGUUCCGGGGUACUGGCGCAAUAUGGGUCAAGUUGGGUAGUGCAACUUGCUGGGUAUUGCUGAUGUAUGCCUGUAAAAUUUAGUUUAAUAUGUUUGUUUUCCUUUUUGCUUCCUUUGGUGUACUGUGGCGAGCCUUUGGCUUGUAGUUUUUUUU
rnacentral:lncRNA from 1 species